rnacentral:rRNA from 1 species
AGAGCGAACGCUGGCGGCAGGCCUAACACAUGCAAGUCGAACGCACCUUCGGGUGAGUGGCGGACGGGUGAGUAACACGUGGGAACGUACCUUUUGGUUCGGAAUAACGCAGAGAAAUUUGCGCUAAUACCGAAUGAGCUCGAAAGAGGAAAGAUUUAUCGCCGAAAGAGCGGCCCGCGUUAGAUUAGCUAGUUGGUGGGGUAAAGGCCCACCAAGGCUACGAUCUAUAGCUGGUCUGAGAGGAUGAUCAGCCACAUUGGGACUGAGACACGGCCCAAACUCCUACGGGAGGCAGCAGUGGGGAAUCUUGCGCAAUGGGCGAAAGCCUGACGCAGCCAUGCCGCGUGAAUGAUGAAGGUCUUAGGAUUGUAAAAUUCUUUCAGUAGGGACGAUAAUGACGGUACCUACAGAAGAAGCCCCGGCUAACUUCGCGCCAGCAGCCGC